UGUUUUGAGAGUUUGAUCCUGGCUCAGAACGAACGCUGGCGGCGUGCCUAACACAUGCAAGUCGAGCGCGAAAGUUCCUUCGGGAAUUAGUAGAGCGGCGGACGGGUGAGUAAUACAUAGGUAAUCUACCCUUGAGCUUGGGAUAACCCCGCGAAAGUGGGGCUAAUACCGGAUAAGACCACGCAAUUAUGUUGCGGGGUAAAAGGUGGCUUAUUUUUUAAAUGAGCUAUCACUUGAGGAUGAGCCUAUGGCCUAUCAGCUUGUUGGCGGGGUAAGAGCCCACCAAGGCUAUGACGGGUAGCUGGUCUGAGAGGACGAUCAGCCACACUGGGACUGAGACACGGCCCAGACUCCUACGGGAGGCAGCAGUGGGGAAUAUUGGGCAAUGGGCGAAAGCCUGACCCAGCGACGCCGCGUGGGCGAUGAAGGCCUUCGGGUUGUAAAGCCCUGUCAUGCGGAAAGAACGACCCUGUGACGCAUACUCACAGGGAGUGACGGUACCGCAGGAGGAAGCACCGGCUAACUCCGUGCCAGCAGCCGCGGUAAUACGGAGGGUGCAAGCGUUGUUCGGAAUUAUUGGGCGUAAAG
rnacentral:rRNA from 1 species